rnacentral:rRNA from 1 species
UACGUAGGCAGCAAGCGUUGUUCGGAAUUACUGGGCGUAAAGAGUGUGUAGGCGGUGCUCUAAGUUCGGUGUGAAAUCUCCCGGCUCAACUGGGAGGGUGCGCCGGAAACUGGGGUGCUGGAGCGCGGGAGAGGAAAGCGGAAUUCCUGGUGUGAGCGGUGAAAUGCGUAGAUAUCAGGAGGAACACCGGCGGUGUAGACGGCUUUCUGGACCGUAGCUGACGCUGAGACACGAAGCGUGGGUAGCAAACAGG